AUGCUUUACACAUGCAAGUCGGCCGCAGCACAGAGAAGCUUGCUUCUCGGGUGGCGAGUGGCGAACGGGUGAGUAACAUAUCGGAACGUACCGAGUAGUGGGGGAUAACUGAUCGAAAGAUCAGCUAAUACCGCAUACGUCUUGAGAGAGAAAGCAGGGGACCUUCGGGCCUUGCGCUAUUCGAGCGGCCGAUAUCUGAUUAGCUAGUUGGUGGGGUAAAGGCCUACCAAGGCGACGAUCAGUAGCGGGUCUGAGAGGAUGAUCCGCCACACUGGGACUGAGACACGGCCCAGACUCCUACGGGAGGCAGCAGUGGGGAAUUUUGGACAAUGGGCGCAAGCCUGAUCCAGCCAUCCCGCGUGUCUGAAGAAGGCCUUCGGGUUGUAAAGGACUUUUGUCAGGGAAGAAAAGGCUGUUGCUAAUAUCAGCGGCUGAUGACGGUACCUGAAGAAUAAGCACCGGCUAACUACGUGCCAGCAGCCGCGGUAAUACGUAGGGUGCGAGCGUUAAUCGGAAUUACUGGGCGUAAAGCGGGCGCAGACGGUUACUUAAGCAGGAUGUGAAAUCCCCGGGCUCAACCCGGGAACUGCGUUCUGAACUGGGUGACUCGAGUGUGUCAGAGGGAGGUAGAAUUCCACGUGUAGCAGUGAAAUGCGUAGAGAUGUGGAGGAAUACCGAUGGCGAAGGCAGCCUCCUGGGACAACACUGACGUUCAU
rnacentral:rRNA from 1 species